rnacentral:lncRNA from 1 species
UUGUAUGGGGGAAAUUGAAAGGCAAUUGAAUAGCAUUAAGCUCAAAUGUUGAUAAAGAAAAAAAUGCAUGAGAAAAACAAAAGAAAAGAAGAAAAGCAUGAAAAUGAGCUCAGUGUAAAAGAAAAGGGGAAGAAGUUGGAAAUCAGUGAGAUUGGUGAGGAAGAGAGUUGUGCUUAAAUUUUGAAUACUAUGGUAGCUCUCUUAACUCAAGGACUUUGCAUUCCAGAAAAACCAAUUUUACUUGUUAGUCUAGCCUCGAUACAAGCCGUGGAAAAGUCCUUGUUAUGACAUUUGCAUGUAAAGAUCUUGAUUAUUUUAGAUGAAUGAUAAUG